AUACUAAACUUGUGUGGAGAGGAGAUCCAAGGAUCAAAGAUUUAAACUUGACGAAUGGUUUGGCCGGCUCAGGAUUGAAGCAGCGAGCUGGGCAUUGGGACAGUUGUGGGAGGGAGAGAACCAUGGGAAAGGAGUGGUCGGGAACAGCAAGGGAAAGAGAGGAAUGAGGCAUCGCACCACAAAAUGAGGUUGAGGUUCCAAUGUUGAGCAACUGAUCACUUGCUCUUGAGAAAUCAGUCAUACUUUUUCAUCGGGGGUUGAGAGGUGACCUCCGCUGUCUCAUCCUAAAAUAAAGAAAACCAAUUACAGGAGCACUUACCUGGUACAAAAGAAGCAGCAUACAUCGCAGAGCAAGGCGAAUUGGAGAUCUACUUUUAGGUUGGAAGUGACAUAGACUGAGACACACAAGGUCGAGGAGGAGAUGGAUAUGGAAAUAGAGAACUCGCCCUUCAAGGCCGAAGUUGAAGAUAGAGUUAAAAGACCACUAACAUCUGGAGAAGGAUCAUUACUAGUAAUCGUAAGCCUCUCUGUUAAUGCACCCCAUGAGAAAGAAGCCUGCAUAUUUCUGCAAACUGUUCCCAGAAAGAACCAAUUUCCUGACUUCCAUGUGGUGUCAAUAACACAGGCAUGAGAUGGAUCGGUGCUUAUGAAAUAUUAAAUCUGCUUGCAAGGACCAGCUACAAUCAAAUUCAGACCACCUGUGAGAAAAAGGUUUGUGGUAGGUAUCAUUUAAAAACGCUGACACACACGGUACCUUGAAUGACAUGACCGAGUCAACUUACUUCAGCUCAGCAAAUCCGCCAGCAAUUGUAGGAAGAAAAUCAUGAUGUUGCUGAUUUCACUGCAGCUGUGAGAGGGGAAAGUGAACUCGAUUUUUAGGAUCGUGUGGGGGUGAUUCUCCGGUCGUCGGUAAAUUUACAGACCU